AGAGUUUGAUCCUGGCUCAGGAUGAACGCUGGCGGUAUGCUUAACACAUGCAAGUCGAACGGGCUCUUCGGAGCUAGUGGCGGACGGGUGAGUAACGCGUGAGAAUCUGGCUUCAGGUUCGGGACAACAGUUGGAAACGGCUGCUAAUACCGGAUGUGCCUUAUGGUGAAAGAUUUAUCACCUGAAGAUGAGCUCGCGUCUGAUUAGCUAGUAGGUGUGGUAAGAGCGCACCUAGGCGACGAUCAGUAGCUGGUCUGAGAGGAUGAUCAGCCACACUGGGACUGAGACACGGCCCAGACUCCUACGGGAGGCAGCAGUGGGGAAUUUUCCGCAAUGGGCGAAAGCCUGACGGAGCAAUACCGCGUGAGGGAGGAAGGCUCUUGGGUUGUAAACCUCUUUUCUCAGGGAAGAAUGAUGACGGUACCUGAGGAAUAAGCAUCGGCUAACUCCGUGCCAGCAGCCGCGGUAAUACGGAGGAUGCAAGCGUUAUCCGGAAUGAUUGGGCGUAAAGCGUCCGCAGGUGGCAAUGUAAGUCUGCUGUCAAAGCGUCUGGCUCAACCAGAUAAAGGCAGUGGAAACUACAUAGCUAGAGUAAGGUAGGGGUAGAGGGAAUUCCUGGUGUAGCGGUGAAAUGCGUAGAGAUCAGGAAGAACACCGGUGGCGAAAGCGCUCUGCUGGACCUUAACUGACACUGAGGGACGAAAGCUAGGGGAGCGAAUGGGAUUAGAUACCCUAGUAGUCC
rnacentral:rRNA from 1 species